GUACUUGCUUCGGCAGUACAUAUACUAAAAUUGGAACGACACAGAGAGGAUUAGCAUGGACCCUGCAUGGAUGACACAGUAUAUAAAAAAAGAACGGUUUCUUAAUUUUU